rnacentral:misc_RNA from 1 species
CAGAGUGCCCCUGGCUCUGCUAACCCCGCGAACCAUACACUGUUGCCUCGGCGGGUACGCCCGCCGCAGGCCCCCUACAACCCUUUACCUACCAAUCCAUCUGACUUGAUUCUUAAAUGAACUAA